UAGGGAAUCUUCCGCAAUGGGCGAAAGCCUGACGGAGCAACGCCGCGUGAGUGAUGAAGGUCUUCGGAUCGUAAAACUCUGUUAUUAGGGAAGAACAAAUGUGUAAGUAACUAUGCACGUCUUGACGGUACCUAAUCAGAAAGCCACGGCUAACUACGUGCCAGCAGCCGCGGUAAUACGUAGGUGGCAAGCGUUAUCCGGAAUUAUUGGGCGUAAAGCGCGCGUAGGCGGUUUGUUAAAUCUGAUGUGAAAGCCAAAGGCUCAACCGUGGAAGGUCAUUUGGAACUGGAAAACUGGAGUGCAGAAGAGGGAAGUGGAAUUCCAUGUGUAGCGGUGAAAUGCGCAGAGAUAGGGAGGAACACCAGUGGCGAAGGCGACUUUCUGGUCUGUAACUGACGCUGAUGUGCGAAAGCGUGGGGAUCAAACAGG
rnacentral:rRNA from 1 species